CCUACGGGUGGCAGCAGUGAGGAAUAUUGGUCAAUGGGCGCUAGCCUGAACCAGCCAAGCAGCGUGAAGGAUGACUGCCCUAUGGGUUGUAAACUUCUUCUAUAUGGGAAUAAAGUGCAGUAUGUAUACUGCUUUGCAUGUACCUUAUGAAUAAGGAACGGCUAACUCCGUUCCAGCAGCCGCGGUAAUACGGAGGAUACGAGCGUUACCCGGAUUUAGUGGGUUUAAAGGGAGCGUAGGCGGGUUGUUAAGUCAGUUGUGAAAGUUUGCGGCUCAACCGUAAAAUUGCAGUUGAUACUGGCAUCCUUGAGGACAGUAGAGGUAGGCGGAAUUCGUGGUGUAGCGGUGAAAUGCUUAGAUAUCACGAAGAACUCCGAUGGCGAAGGCAGCCUGCUGGACUGUAACUGACGCUGAUGCUCGAAAGUGUGGGUAGCAAACAGGAUUAGAUACCCGGGUAGUC
rnacentral:rRNA from 1 species